AUUUACACUAAGAAAUUUCACCACAUAUCAAGAAAUAGAACAUUACUAGAUGGGUGUAUAAAUGUAGGAGUGGCAUUGUUGGUUUUAGAGGUAUGUGAAUGACAAAACUUUAGUAUCAGUUAUUGUUGAUCAUUUUCACAAAGUGGUUGUACUGCUGAGCGGGGAAUAUUCUGGUUACCUCACAUCUUUGCUUAUGCUUGUCAAUUCAAAAUUAUUUUGCCAUUCUAGUUGAGGUGCAGUAAUAUAUCAGUGUAGUUUCAUUUUGCAUUUUCCUGGUAUUGAGAUUGAGUAUUUUUUAUUGCCAUUUAUAUGUCCUCUUUUGUGAAGUGCCUGUUCAAUCUUCAUAUCCUGUUUUCAUUGAUAUGCUUGUUUUUCUGUUGAUUUGUAAUUCUUUAUUCUGGAUGUGUGUCCUUUUUAGUAUAUAUAUGUAUUACAUGUAUUACCUUUCUCUAUUUUUCAAACUGUAGCAUGCCUUUUCACUCUUUUAAUGGUAUUUUUACAUGAAUGGAGAUUCUCCGGUUUUUUUUUUUUUCCUUUUUGAGACAGGAUCUCAUUCUGUUGUUCAGGCUGCAGUGCAGUGGCAGUGCAGAGAUUUCACAACUCAGUGUAACUUCCACCUCCCAAGGCUCAAGAGAUCCUGAGGGGCCUGAGCCCCCAAGUAGCUGGGACCUACAGGGGAGCACCAUUAUGCUCAGCGCUUUUUUGUAUUUUUAGUAGAGAUUGGGUUUUAACACGUUGCAUAGGCUGGUCUGGAAUUCCUGGGAUCAAGUGAUAACACCUGCUUGGCCUCCCAUAGCGUACGGAUUACAGGCAUGAGCCAGUGUACCCAGCCUGAGUUUCUUAAUUUUAAUGAAAUUAUACUUGAUCAACCUUUUCCUUUACAGUGACUGCUUUUUGUGUCCUGUUAAUCAAUGCCUAACCUAAGAACAUGAAAACUUAAUCUCAUAGCAAUUUUAGUUUAGUUUAUGCUUCCCCACCCCCACCCCCAUGCCCCAGAUAGGCUGUCAUUCUAUUGCCCUGGCUGGAGCGCAGUGGCAUAAUCUCAGCACACUGCAACCUCCACCUCCUGGCUCAAGCGAUCCUCCCCGCUCAACCUCCUGAGUACCUGAGACCAUAGGCAUGUGCCACCAUGCCUGGCUAAGUUUGGUUUUUUUGUAGAGAUGGGGAUUCACCAUUUUCCCAGGUUAGUCUCAAACUCUUGGGCUCAAGUAGUCUGCCCGCUUCAGCCUCCCAGAGGGCUAGGAUUCGAGCCAACCCACCCACCCAUGAUUUACUUUUUACUACAUGGAUGUGACUGACUGCUUGAUUUAGUACCAUGUAUGGAGAAGACCAUCUUUGUCCUUCUGCACUGUGUAGCACUUUUUUUAUCAGUUGGAUGGCUGUAUGGUCAUGAGAUUGACGAAAUCAGUGUGGGUCUGUUUCUGGACCAAGCUGGGUAACAUAGCAAGAUCCAAUCUCUACAAAAAUUAAUAAAAAAUAAAGAAAGACAUGAAAUUCUUUAAGUGGGUAGAGCAGAUGGAGUCAUAGGUGGUAAUUUAUAAAUGAUUGCCAAUUUCUUGGCUACAUAGAGGUGUUGGUAAGUGAGAUCUGUUGGGAGUUCAGGCAAAAUGUAUUAAGUGAAUUAUUUGGUGUUCAGAAUGAUUGCUAGAUGUUGGUUGUGACUUCAGUUAGAUGUUAUUUGAGCCUCACAGAGCUACAGGUUUUAUUCUCUUCUUUAUUUGUCUUUAAAAAUUUUUACAAUCUUCCUAUCAAGGCAGUACCUCUUUUAUACUUAAUUGUUCUUAGGUAUAGUUAAUUACCAGGAAAAUUUUAUGGAUCAUAUCUAACUGUUAAGCCACUUAAAGGGCUGAUGUGAUGUAAUGUAGACGAUAGGAUUCUACAUACUAGUUUCAGGAGUAUAUCGAUUAAAUUGUUUCUUCUUCUUUUUUUUUUUUUUUUCUUGGGAUAGGGUCUGGCUCUGUUGCCGAGGCUGGAGUACAGUGGUGUAGUGGUAUGAUCGUGGCUCACUGCAGCUUUGACCUCUCAGGCUCAAGCAGCCUCCCACCUCAGCCUUCUUAAGUAGCUGGGACUACAGGCAUGCACCACCAUGCCUGGCUAAUUUUGUAUCUUUUGUAUGCAGGGUCUUCCUAUGGUGCCCAGACUGGUUUGAAACUCCUGGGCUGAAAUGAUCCUCCCACCUUGUCUUCCCAAAGUGUUGGUAUUACAGGUGUGAGCUAUCACACCUGGACAUUUUAGUUUUAAUAAUUUUAUAUUUUUCUAAUUUAGAGUAUUUAAGUCUAUUUAACUUAUGAAUAUGAUAUUCAUUAUGAUUAGUUUGUAUGUAUUUAACCUCAUUUUAAUAUAAGCUUUUGGAAAUUAGAGAUGUCGUUUCUUAUUUGCUACUGUGUUCUCAGUACUUGACCUUGCCUGGUAUGAUACAGUUAUUGAAAUAGUUGUUAAAUGAAUGAAUGAACCACAUUCAUAAAUUCUCCAAGUAUCACAGCAUUCACCAUCUAAUGAAUAAAAGAGCUUAUCUAGAGUAGAGUCACAGUUAACCUGCCAUACAAGGAAAUGCCAAUGAAAAUCGACCUUUGUAUGUGUAGCUGCUAAGAUUUGGGGGCUUUUGUUACUGUAUUUAUAUGGAUGUAUGUUUUCAUUUCUUUGAGUAUAUGCUUAGGAUUAGAAUAGUUGGGUCUUACGGUAACUCUGUUUCAUAUUUUGAGGAACUGCCUGAUUAUUUCCAAAGUCGCUGUACCAUUUUACAUUCCCGUCAACAGUGUACGAAGGCUUCCGUUUUUCUACAUCCCCACCGACACCUGUCAUUAUCUGUCUUUUAAAAAUAUUAAUAACAAGUGUCGGUGGGGAUGUAGAAAAACUGGUGGUGUACACUUUGUUGCUCAGUCUGGAGUGCAGUGGCAUGAUGACAGCUCACUGCAGCGUUGACCUCUCAGGCUCAAGUGAUCUUCCCACCUCAGCUCCACCUGAGUAGCUGGGAUCACAGGCAUGUGCCACCACACCUGACUAAUUUCUUAAUUUUUUUGUGGCGAUGGAGUCUCAUUAUGUUACCCAGGCUGAUCUUGAACUCCUAGCCUGAAGCAGUCCUCCCCUCUCAGCCCCCUAAAGUGCGGGGAUUAUAGAUGUGAGCCAGUGUACCCUGCCUUAUCUGUCUUUUUAAAAUUUAUUCAUUAUACUUUAAGCUCUGGGGUCCAUGUGCAGAUCGUGCAGGUUUGUUUCAUGGGUAUACACAUGCCGUGGUGAUGGUUUGCUGCAUCCAUGACCCCGUCAUCUACAUUAGGUAGGCUUACUACAUGCAACCUCCACCUCCCAGGCUCAAGCGGUCCUUCCACCUCAGCCUUCCAAGUAGAUGGGACUACAUGUGUGCAUCACCUUGGCUGAUUAAUUUUUGUAUUUUUUGUUGAGAUGAGUUUUUGCCAUGUUGCCCAGUCUUCAUGGUGGUUUUGAUUUGUAUUUCCUGGAUGCCAAAUAAUACUGAGCAUUCUUUCAUCUGCUCACUGGUCUAUCCUCUUAUAUUUAAUACAAACAUUGUUGCCCGCCUUUCCUAAAAUGUGUGUGUGUGUGUGUGUGUGUUCAGUGUAUUUGCAUGUCUAGAUUUCAGCAUGAAAAGUUCAUUUUAGGAGCCCACACUGAGCAACAUGGCAAAACCCCAACUCUACCCAAAAAAAAAAAAAAAAAAAAAAAAAGCCAGGCGUGGUGAAGUGCACCUGUGGUCGAAGGUAUUCAGGAGGCUGAGGGGGAGGAUCACUUGAACCCAGGAAGGUUCACGCUGCUGCACUCCAGCCUGGGUAACAGAGUGAAUCCUAAUCUCAAAAUAAGAAGAAAAAGAAGAAGAAAAAAACCGGCUGGGCAGCUGGGCACAGUGGCUUAUGCCAGUAAUCUGACACUUUCGGAGAACGAGUUGGACAGAUCACUUGAGUUUAGGAGUUUGAGAUGAGACUGGGCAACAAGGAAAACCCCAUCACCAGAAAAAUUACAAAAAAUUAUCCAGGCGUGGUGGUGUGUACCUGUGGUCCCAGUUAUUCAAGAGGCUGAGGUGAGAGGAUCACUUGAGCCCAGAAGGUUGAGGCCGUAACAAGCCAUGAUCAUAUCACUGCACUUCAGCCCAGAUAACAGAGUGAGACAUAACCUAAAAAUAAAUAAAAAGAAAGAAAGAAAGAAAAAAGGGCUAGGCACAGUGGCUAAGCCCUGUAAUCCAGCAUUUUGGGAGGCUGAGGUAGGCAGAUCACAUGAGUUUGAGACCAGACUGGGCAACAUGGCAAAAUCCCAUCUCUACUAUAAGUAAAAAAAUUAGCCAAGCAUGGUGGUGUGCACCUGUGGUCCUAGCUACCCAACAGCCUGAUAUAGGAGGAUCGAUUGUGCCAAGGAGGUUGAGGCUGCAGCAAGCCGUGAUCGCAACACUGCACAACAGCCUGGGUUACAUAGCAAGACCUAAUCUCAGAAUAAUAAUAAUUAAAAAAGAAAAAACAUGUGGACACAGUGGCUUACACCUGUAACCCAGCACUUCGGGAGGCCAAGGUGGGCAGAUUACUUGAGUUCAGGAGUUCGAGACCAGACUGGGCAAUGUGGCGAAACCCAUCUCUACAAAAAUCUGAAAGAUUAACCAGGCAUGGUGGUGUGCACCUGUGGUCCCAGCUAUUUCAGAAGCUGAUAUGUGAGAAUCGUUUGAGCCCAGGGGGUUGAACCUGUAGGAAGCUGUUAUCGUGCCACUGUACUCCAGCCUGAGAAACAGAGAAAGACUUAAUCUCAAAAAAAAAAAAAAUUAAAAAGAAAAGGAGAAAAAAAGAAAUGAAAGAAAUGGCUGGACACAGUGGCUCACUACUGUAACUCAGCAUUUUGAGAGGCCAAGAUAAGCAGAUCACUUGAGUUCAGGAGUUUGGGACCAGACUGGGUAACAAGGCAAACGCUAUCUCUACAAAAAACACACACGAAAAAAGGGCCAGGCUUGUGGUGUGCCUCUGCUGUCACAGCCAUUCAAGAGGCUGAGGUAUGAGGAUCACUUGAUUCCCGGAGCUCGAGGCUGCAGCAAGCUGUAGUGCCACUGCACUCUACCCUGGGUAACAGAGCGAGACCUCAUCCCCCCUCCAAAGAAACCGGAAAGAAACAAAAACGGUCUGUGCACAGUGGCUCACGCUUGUAACCCAACACUUAGGGAGGCCAAAGAGGGCAGAUCACUUGAAUUCCGGAGUUCAAGACCAGACUGAGCACAUGGCAAAACCCCAUCUCUACCAAAAACACCAAACAUUCUCCAGGCGGGGUGGUGUGCACCUGUGGUUCCAGCUAUUCAAGAGGCUGAGUUUGGGAGGAUCGCUUGAGCCCAGGAGGUUGAGGCUGCAGCAAGCCCUGACCACGCCAUUGCACUCCCGCCUGGGUAACAGAGGGAGACCUUAUCUUUAAAAAAAAAAAAGAAAGAAAGAAAGGAGGAGGAGGAAGGGGGGGCACAAUGGCUCAGGCCUGUAACUCAGCACUUUGAAAGGCCGAGGUCUUGACUCACCCUCUGGCCUCAGCCCAGGCUGGUGGGAUCGCUCUGAGGUGUAGGCUGCCCGGACCCCGAGACCAGGCCGUCCCUGCUCCAGGAACUCCCGAAGGUCUGCAGGCGUUGGUGUGGGGCUGGCUGGGUGCGCAGGCUUUCCUGCAUGCACAUGUGUGCCAGGGCCCGAGCGAGGGGAUAGCGCAGUUCUGGAAUGGGGUGUGUGCAGAUGUGGGCCAUGCACGGACAUGCAGGCACGGGUUUGCAUGCGUGGCAGCGGCCUGUGUGUCAGCCUGCUGGAUGCAUGUGUGUCUCAGCGCCGCUGGGAGGGGCUUGGGACACCCGGAAGCCAGCCAGGUCUGGUGCUGCUGCAGCCUCAAAGCCAAGUCCGUUGUGGGCCCCAGGCACCAGAGUUAUGCUCAGGGUGGUAGGGGAAAGGGGAUAGAGAUGGUCCUUCACCUUCUCUUCCACUGGAGACUUUGGGCUGCCCCAGGUUGGGUUGUAGCGUCUGGAGAGCCCCAAGCCUGAGGUAUAGAAGGUGGAAGGUGGAAGAAAACUCGCAGAGGCCCGAUCCAGCCCUCCGGGAGCAUCCAGAUGCUGGCCACAGUUGGGCAGGAAUCGACCUCUUCCUGGUCUUUCCCAUCAGCCAUUCCGAGGUCCCUGGAAGGUGAAAGCGGGAACAGAGACACAAAGCUGUUCCUUUUCCACUGCCAAAGGCAGGGUUAGUGUUGCGGUGGUGGGCUCUUCUCCGGGACCCUGGCCUGGGUGCUGAGUGAGGUUGGAGCUUGACAGGGAGGAUCCACAGAGCUGCUUCUCCAGGAUGACCUGAGCCUGCUCCCUGGGCACGUGCCCUGUUUGAGAGCCUGGUUGCCUUAGUAUGGGUCAGGGAAGGAGGCACCUACAUUUUGGCAACUGUUUUGAAUGGAGGAGCAGUUUCCCUUGAGGGAGUGAAUCCUGGGCUCUCCACCUCCGACUGGCAGGACAAAGGUCACUCCCACACCCCUAAGAGUUCUCUGUGGGCUCCAUGGAGCCUGUACCCUCCCACAGAAACUCCUGAGGGUCCCAGGUGGCCUCCUCUCUACUGGCUGGGUCUCAGGUGGGGGCCUCAGGAAGUCUCCAGGGCAAAGGGUAUUGCAUGGGCUGAGGCCCAGGAGAGAGGGACUCCUGGGGUUGGGGGUGGGGACCAAAUAGGCCCCAAGGAGCAUGUGGCGAAGGCGAGACCAAAGUCAGCACUUAACCCAGAGUGUCCCAAGGGUGGGAGUGGGGGUUCAUACCCCAAAACCCUACAAUUCCUUCUCACAGCAUUGCUGUGAAGAAGGGGCUUUCACCCUCAUAGGGGUCUCUGUCCACCAAGGCCCCUGACUGCCAGGGAACCCACACGACAGUUCCCUUCUUUCUGAAUACUGGCCCUUCCACAGCUUGGAUGCUUGAGCCUGGGCAGAGGGAUAACAACCCUAGGACUGUCUUCGCAAGCAGAGAGGCUACUUGGCACCAGGCUCUGACUCCUUGGUCUGAGCUCAGCAUCAGGCAUGUCACCACGGCCCCCUGGACAGAAGGGGCUCAGCCCUGAGAACCCAGCACUCCCCACACCUGCAUGUCCCUUCUGUGCAUCCACCCUGGGGACCCAGCUUUCCCCCUGCUCCCAGCUGCUGGCAGCCCCAUCUUGACUCAUCCAGGGUCCCUGAGGCCACACCAGGAAGCAGCCGGCAGCUGGGAGGAGCACCUGCUGUUUCUGCAUCUUUAUUAUCAUUAUUAUUAUUUUUAUUUUUUUUAGACAGAGUCUCAUUCUGUCACCCAGGCUGGAGGGCAAUGGCACGCUCUCGGUUCACCACAACCUCUGCCUCCCAGGUUCAAAGAAUUCUCCUGCAUCAGCCUCACAAGUAGCUGGGAUUACAGGUGCAUGCCACCAAGCCUGGCUAAUUUUUCUAUUUUUAAGUAGAGACAGGGUUUCACCAUGUUGGUCAAGCUGGUCUCAAACCCCUGACCUCAUGAUCUGCCCACCUCAGCCUCCCAAAGUGCUAGCUUAAAGGCCUGAGCCACCCAGACCAGCUGCCUCUGCAUCUUUUUUUUCCUGGAGCUCACUUGGGUGGGAGGGGCUACAUACUCAAGGGAGACUGCAGGCCAUGCCCCCCACUCCCUGGCUGAGUGAGCUUUCUUCUCAGGAGUCUGUCUGGAGGCUGGGACUGUCCUGUCACAGAGGCAGGUCUGAGUAGUCCAGGCCUGUUCCUAUUCUCCAGCAGGGCCCCUCCUGUUCAUUUGUGCAGCUGGCUUUGCCCAAAGCACAAGUGAAGUCUGUGUGGACUGUGUCCUUUGUCCCCAGAGGGAGUGUGGUUCCAGUCCUGGCCUGGAACUCGGAUGCCUUAGAAUAAGAGGCCACAUCUGGCAGGGUGCAGCAGUGUGGUAUGCCCACAGCCAGGGCAGGUACCACGUUGGCAGCCCCAGACCUGACACCACAGCUCCUGUGUCCCCUCUUUACUUCCAUCCAGCACAUCACCUGCACUACGUGCUGCCCCUGAUGAAUCUGGACUGUCAGCUUUGCCAGCUUAGCCAGGAAAUCCCACCAACCCUAAAGAGAACGGUGCCUCCUGAGCUGGGGGCUAUGUGGGUAUGGGCCUGGUGUGGGGUGGGGGAGGUCGGGGUGAGGCAGGUGUCCAGCACCUGUCUGUUUAUCUUCCCUUCUCUUUUGUCCACAAAAGAGGCAUCUUCUCCAUGUCCCUCUGCCACCCCGAGGACAUACAAUACUUCCCCAGAUCUGUCUUCCCUUGGACACGGCCUACCUACCUUCCUGUGGGACUCAGGGCUUUGUUUUGUCCUGUGGCCCACAUGAGAAGCAGUUAUCCCUACUCUGCUCAGUUGAGAGGUAAACUGAGGCAGAGCAGGGGAACAACUCUCUUGUAGUCUGGAUGUUAACAUCAGAGUCAAGAGCAGCCCUUCCACAAGUGGUCAGGUCCAGUGGACACCAAGCGUGGAGGCUGUAUCAGUCGGUUUUGCAUUGCUCCAGAGGAAUACCUGAGACUAGGUCAUUUAUUUCUUUCUUUCAAGGGGUUGACAGGGCCACUAGGCUGAGGGUUGGAGCCCCAUCUCCUAGUCCCAGCCUGGGUCUCCAUCACUGGCUAGCCGGCUCUGCUUGCUGCAUUCUCUCCACACCUGCCUCCUGUAGCCCAGGGGUCAAUCUGGGUCCAGGCCUAGGAAAGGUUCAGGAGCAGAUUCUGCCCACCAGCUCAUGCCUCCUGUGCACCAAGGCAGCCAAAAUGCAGCAGCAGAACCAGGAGCGCUGGCUUGUCCCUGUAUCGCAGUGUUUUGGGAGGCUGAGGUGGAAAGAUCGCUUGAGACCAACCUGCACAACAUAGCAAGACCCCGUCUCUACAAAAAAUAAAACUGGGCAUGGUGGUAUGCGCCUGUAGUCCCAGCUACUCAGGAGGCUGAGGGGGGAGGACUGCAUGAACCCAGGAGGUCAAGGCUGCAGUGAGCUAUGAUUGCACCACUGCCCUCCAGCCCGGGCAACAGAGUAAGACCCUGUCUCUAAAACAAGAAACAAAGUGCACCGUGUGUGAAAUCCAGCUUCUGGCAUGUGGACCUGACCUCACUCGGUCCCAUCAGUGAGUGGGAGGCUGCCUGCUGUCUUCCAGAACAUUCCCACCACUACACCUAUGUCCCUCCUGUGUUCCCUGGCAGGCUUUGUAAGGUGGCCUGUCACCUACCCUCUGGCUUCCCUAAGGCACAGCUCAAACCUUUCUUGCCACUGAGAACCUUUUCCUGAAGAGUCUUACCCUCAUCUGCAGGCCUCUUCAUUUCAGAGCUUUUGGUGGGGUGAGUACCAGAAUUGACUCACUGCUACCAGCUGGGAGGAAUUGUCCCUAGGGGUGGGUUUCUGGAUGGCAUGUGAGGAUCUAGAUGAGGACCCAGAUGCCUGUAACCUGAAGGGAAGGGCCUCGGCUGCCAGGGCUUCACACAGCCCCUCGUCCAGUCUUACCUUCUGGGACAGGCCAGACCCCUCCAUCCUUUGGUCUUGGUCCCUACCAGGAACUCUGGUUUCCCUGGAUUACCUACUUUGACUCCAAAGGUAAUAAUGCCGACAUCCCCCGUGAGAUAGUGACAGACUGAGACUACCAUAGGGUUAGCUGGCUCAGAGUCACCAUAGCCAAGCACAGCUCAGGUCCUGGCCCUGUUCAAGGCUUUCCCCAAUGCCUUCUAGCUCUGGUACGUGGGUUCUUCCUCACCCAGCUGCAGCUCACCCUGCCCCUUCCACCAGGUGACAGAGAACCUGACAGUCUGUGAUCCAUAGAAGGUUUCACUUUCCUUCUUGUGAGGGAUGAGAACCAGCUUAGGGUGGGAGGGAAGAGGGGUCUGGGGGCCCUCCCAGCCCUGCCUCUGGCAUUUGAAGGAUGGUGGCUGGGCAGCAGCAUGGUUUAGGCUAGACAAUGCAGCCCCUAGGUUUAUAGCCUGGCCUCAGACAGUUGCUGCCAUGUCACCUUCUCUUCUGCACAUGCUGACCUGGCAUCCCACCAAGUUAAAGGUCCUCAGGCCUCCUGCCCAGAUGCCUGUAACCUGAAGGGAAGGGCCUCGGCUUUUCCCCCACUCCCUGCCCAGGCACAGCUGUCCUUGUCCUGGACUCAUCUUCAGAGAUACUUGUCCAGCACACAGCUUUGCUGGAUGUCGCAGGCUGGGCCGGGCCCACUGCCCUGCACUAACCUCUUCGUGUGUCUCAACUAGACUGAGCUGCAGCUUCAGGGUCAGGACAGGCUCUGACUUAAUUGAUGUGACCCAGGACAAGGGGGUUACAUCUGCUUCAGUUCUUGGCCUCUAUGGUCUCUUUGGGGCAUGAUGCCCCUCUGUCCCAUGUUUAGGUGCCCACAUGUGGCCACAAGUGCUUUUCCUACCACCAUCUGGACUUCAGGCUGCUGCCCAGGCACCUGUGGCUCCAGGCAGAAGCAUGAGUGCAGAGCCAGGCCUGGGCAGAUGUUCCGCAGGUGCUGCAGGAGCGGACAGCCUUGGCCACGCAGCCCAUGGCCAUCCGUUCCCCUUCACUGUGGCUGUCCCUAGUCCACGAUCCUUCCAGGGCCAGGCUUAGAACCAAACUGACUUCUCUCUGGCCCUGACAGGUUCUUGGCUGAGCAUGGUGGUCUUGCCCAUUUCUUUGAUUAUCCUCAACAAGAGGUUUUUUGUUUUUUUUUUUUUUUUUGAGACAGUUUCACUCUUGUUACCCAGGCUGUAGUGCAAUGGCAUGAUCUCGGCUCACCACAACCUCCGCCUCCUGGGUUCCGGCAAUUCUCCUGCCUCAGCCUUCUGAGUAGCUGGGAUUACAGGCACGCGCCACCAUGCCUAGCUGAUUUUUUAUAUUUUGAAUAGAGACGGGGUUUUACCAUGUUGACCAGGAUGGUCUCAAUCUCUUGACCUCGUGAUCCACUCGCCUCGGCCUCCCAAUGUGCUGGGAUUACAGGCGUGAGCCACCGCGCCCGGCAACAAGAGGUUUAUAGAGCUAUUGGGAACAUCACACCUGUCUACCACGUCCUCACCAGAGACAUGACUGCCUUGGGCCGGGCCUGGGACAGUCAGGGGUUACACUUGCCUAUAGAAACUUAGAUUCAGUGGCUUCAAUCUAGGCAAUGGGCUGAUGGGCAGCUGUCACUUCUCUGCUUGGGGGAGGCAGGAAAGGAAGGUCAGGCAGGAGAGCUGCUUGGUGCCCACCUGUGCCUGUCUCACCUGGCUGCAGGUGCAUUGGAGGCUGAACCCCCCUUUCUGAUCUUCUGCAGGUGUGGAUUUCAGGUUUCCAAUGGGUGUUAGGGUACGCUCCAGUGCUCUCCUGGCCCUAGGGAACCCUGGGCUCCAUGAGGCCUUGGCCUAGGCAGGAUUGUUUCCCACACUUUCAUCUCCCCAUACAGUCACCUCCCCAAACACUGGGCUGUAGGCUCUGGUAUAUUUAAAAGUUCAAAGGCAAAAGUUGCCCCUUCCACUCUCCCAGAGUGGGUUGACCCUCCCCCUCAGAGUGGGCAGGGACAGGAGUUGCAGGGGCAGCUUUCCUUGGGAUGCCAUAGGUCUCUCUGGAGCUGCCUGGCCACGCCUCCUUUUCCUUUCAUCUUUCUCAUGACCAGUGGGAUUGGAGCAUGAAGGCCACGCCCCUAUUCUACAUUCUAGUGUAGCCCUGGUUAUGCCUCCUCAGUUUCAAACACAGCUGCCUGGUAGGAGAGUGGAGCUGCUCCCUUGUAUUGUGCUGAUGUGGCCCCAACCCCACCUCCCUCCCCCACCCACCAUGGCGAUGUCAGAAGAAAUUCGCAAGAUGAAAUUAGCCUCGGCUAGGAAAAAGGUAACAUGCACACAGAUCCCCUCCGACGGCAGGACCACUGCCAGAGUCCAUAACACUUCUGAGACACACCAGACUUGGUGGGCCCCCAAACCCGAUGCCUCUGGGCUCCCCCUGCCAACAUCUUGUCAGUCAGCCCCACCCCUUCAGCAAGGAGCCCAGCCCCUACCCUUGCCAAUCACCCCAGGAUGAUUUUGGAUGUGUAACUCCUGAGGCUCCCCGCUCCCUACUUUGACCUCACCUUUUCCUGCCCCAAGCCUGACCUCCCUGGGCUCAUGUCUCUAGUGACCUGGGUCUCCCAGCCCCCACCCUCAUCAGUCAUUUCUGUGUGACUUUGGGCUGGUGACUUCUGGGGCUUUCUGCUACAGACUCUGUCCUCCCCUCCUGCUACCACAAGCUCUAUUUCCCUGGGCUCUUUGGGCUGGCGUUUCCAAGGACCUGGGUCCCAGCCCUGGAUCCCCCUCCCCCAUCGUGGAGCAGUGACUCAGGUAUGUCCUUGAUAUGUUCCCCUCCCCCAGGAGGAGUGGAAUGUAGUGAUGCCACCGUCCCCCUAGGAGCCGUCAUUACUGCUACAAGACCAGCCUUUGAUCUUACCGCCCAGUCCCCUAAGCAUUCUUAUUCCAUUUCUGGCUCCUCUGGUUGCAGCGCAAAUUUCCAGCUGGAAGGGCAAUGGGGACUAUGGCACCUAGGAGCGAGAGGUUUCAGGUUGCCUCACUCUCUUAACAGACAGUGACAGGGUGAAAAGCCUACACUUUCCCCGUGAGCUCAAAACGUUGACAGUGUCUCUGGGUGGCAAUGGGAGAAUGGGUUUGGUUUGGUCUUCUCUCAGGCUUCUACUUUCCAGAGAGACUUACACGUUUUUUUCUGAGUUCUCCACCUCAUCUUCAAAUUCUCCAUGGUUCUGGGACCAGACUGCCCUUCAGUCAGUGGCCUCUGGAGUGAGAUCUGCUCAUCUUUUGUGGAACAGAUCUUGGGAAAUUGAAACUGACAGCUUGAAUCUUCCUCAUAUCUCAACCUGGGCUACUUUGAAUGCCACGGGAUAAACAUGGGACAUCUUUCUGAAGCAUCAUUUCCCCUUUACAGAAUUUCAAUGAAAAAACAGCCCUGCUGCUUUAUCACGAGUGAGAAGAAAGAAGAAAAGAAACAACAGUAGCCGUGAGACAUCCACUCCUGAUGGUUGCCAGUCACCAUGCCAUUCAGCAGCAGGUGGUCACAAGGAGGGCCCUGCACCAUGUGCCACCAUGAAAGAUCCAGAGACUGCACACCAACUACAAAUAGCCCUGGACUCGUGCUCCGUCACAAUGAGUGAACUGAAUAACACCAUCGACUUAUUCCCCUCGAGCCGCUGUGAAGCAGUCCUUGAGCAGCAGGUACAGCAGUUUCUACAGGAGCGGGAACUGCUAAAAGCACAGGUGGCAGAGGUGAUGGAGUGUCUUAAGAAAGCUCAGCUAGAAAGAGAUGCAUACGCUCAACAACUGAAAACAGAGGGUGCAGUGGCAGCAGAAAAUCCUCAAAAUGGCAGGAGAACUGAACCUUCAAUCUUGAAGCACCCAGCAGGUCCCUCUGACUUGGAGAAAAACCUAAAAACUGAAACCAAGUAUCUGAGAGACAAGCCACGGGAACAGGAGAGACUGCAGCAGGCAAAAAUGAGGCUUUGGGAGGCGGAGGAGUGCACUGCAUUUGGAGCAGGAAGGAAAGGAGCUGCAGGAGAAGCUUGGCGAACAGGAGACUGUAACCUCCACCCCAUCCAGGAGGGCUGGGAGGUGCCAUUUCUGAACGCUGCUAAAGCCAGUGCCCAGGAGGAGCAGGCACGGCUCUGUGAGCAGCUCCAGAAACAACAGGUGUGCUGCCAGCACCAGGCUCACCCGGUGGCCUCAGCCCUGAAGGAGCCAGAGGCAGCUGCCGUGGCCACAGGAACUGGGAGCGAGUCUGGGUGUGGGGAGACCCAGCGGGCCCUGCAGGGAGCCCUCAACAAGCUGCAGAGAGACUUCAUGGACAUUGCGAAGGAGAAUUCGGACCUGAAGGAGCGGGUGGAAAAACUAGAGCUCGGAUUCAUUCAGGUCUCUGGAGAGAGAGACAUGAUAAGAAGGUCCAUCAAACCAAAUGACUGUCAGAGGGCAGUGGCCAAGACCCAGCACCAGAAGAAGAAUGACAUUAGCAUGCUGUCCCAGGCCAAGGAGGAAAUGAAGCUGAGCACCCCUAUCUCCAGGCGAAGCUGCUGGAGCUGCAGGGGCCAGUGAUGCAGCUUGUGAUUGACCACGAGGUCCAGCACCCUGCUAAUGAGCCCACUCCAGGGGCCACAGCCCCCCAGGAGCUUGGUGCUGCUGACAAGGAUGAGAAUUUUAUGAGGUGAGCCUGGACAAUGACAGCGACAGCCUGGAGCUUGCAGGAGGGAGGGUACACCACAACUUCACUGCACAGCAGGUAGCACAUGGAUUUGUGAGCUGUGGGACGGCCAGCAAUACUGACCCUUGGGCAGCAGUCCCUCCACGCCAUGCUUUUACCAGGCUGUGGGCGAAGUAGCGGGUAAACAUCAGCAUCAGCUAAGAGCUGGCCAAGAAAUUUACAAACGAACAAAGUUAUAGGGUUAGUCUUCUACACGUUUACUUCAUUUGAAUGUUGGAGUUACUCAUGAUUUGUGUUUCUAAUUUAUAGUUUAUUUGUAGAAAGUUAAAGGAGUGAGGGUCUUCGUAUGGCUUUCACUGAUGUUGACUCUGGCAUUUUUAAAAAUUUUUCAUUUUUAAUUUGAUAAUCGUAGGUCAUUAGCAUGCCUAUCAAGUUUGCCCUUAUGUGGUGGGAGUUCAAACACACAAAGACCCACUAUUGGCACAAAACUAUUCUUGCUAGUUUUGGAAUAGGCUGCCAUGGUUUUUUAAUGUUAUUGUAGCAUGUAUAUUCAUUAUGGAAUUCAGAUACAAUUUGCUUAUGUUCUGCUAUGAUAUUUGAUCAAAUCCUAUUUACAGUGAGCUCUUAAUUAGCUCAAUAUGUGCUUUGCCCUCACGUGCACACUGUUUAUUACUUUGUAAGAUGCCACUGUGAGUACUGACAUUUAGAGUUGUUGAAAGGCCGAGAACUGGAAACAGCCUUUCUUCCAUGUUCUGUGUAUUGCAAAUGGGAGUAAUAACAUUUUUGGGAGCUUUUAAAAUCUCACAGAAGAGGAAAGCGGCCUGCUCUGGCUGGUAUGUGCAGAAUAGAGUAGUUCAUUGGUUCCUGUGCCAAGAAUGAGCGCUGCACUAUGGUAGUUCUUUUAGGGUUUUUCUGUGCUCUGGAUUCAUGAAGAUACUGCAUCAUCAGCUGCAGCAGCUGUACUCUUUUUUAUGACCUAAAAAGAUUUCUGAGGAAUAAAAGGCUCCCAUCUUUGAUGGUGGAUGUGGAAAACCUUUCCUAGCUUAGAGCAUUUAUGUCUAUAAUACAUUGUAAAGUCAGAGCUCAUGUUACCUGUUUUAAUCACAUGACUCUAAGUCUCAGUACACAAAAGGGCACUGGUUGGCAUUCUUAAUGUAUUUAGUAAAGGUCAUAAGAAAUUCUUUAAGAUAAAGUGUAAUGUAUGUAUGUGUGUAUAUAAUAUAUAUAUAUAUGAAUGGAAAUUUUUAUCUUAGAAUGGGUAGGCACUAAAUACUGAUGAAUGAAUAGUUAAUGUUUUAGGACAUUUGGUAUAGUGCCUUGCAUACAGAAAGAGACCACAGAUGAGAUUAUCCUUUUGUAUCAUUUCACAGUUUUAAAAAUUCCUAUUGAUUACAGUUCACGUAGCAAAUUGCUGAUAAAAUGUCCGUUUUUAUAAACCAUCUCCAGUGACAACAAAAAAAAGAAAUUCUUAAAAAUUUAAAUGUUUAGAAAAUAAAAAUUUUAAUAAAAAAUUUUAAAAAGUUUAAAUGUCCCUGGAUCAGGCAUACAGGUUGUAGUCAAGAAUGAACUAGAGUGCAGGAAAGCCGUGUGACACCUGGCGUCCCUCUGUGUUCAUGGAGCUUCUUUGAGGCUAGAUUGAUUUGACCGUCCAGACUUCUCUGGCUAAUAAUACCUAUUCUUCAACCACCUUGGUUACUCUGACAUAGGAAUUGCCUUCUUUUUCUUGAAUAGAAAGGACUUUAAACAAUAAUCCCAAACAAAUAACAAUCAAAAACAUUAUUAUAAACUAGUACAUGUGAGAGUACUUGGCUGAAACAAAAAGGAGUUUCAGUAGACAGAACUGUACUAUAUUUGACAAUCAAGAAGUUUGUGCAAUUUAAAAUGUUUAUAGCCUGCAGUGCCAUCUACUGUUUGCAAACGUCAAAGUAUUAUCAGCAGAAGUGUCUGUACAAUCGCAGUUUUAUUUCCUCACCAAGAUCUCUACCAAGAGUGAAAUAUGUUUUUAUACCUUUCAGUUUCAGUUAGUGGCAUAUUUUGUGCAAGAUUUAUGUUAAUAUGCCUCUGCAUUAUGAAUGAAUUCUUUCAGUCAGACAUUGCCUAAAGCAUAACUUUGUGAUGCCUGAUGAUACUUUCAUAAAUAUGACAUUAAUAGGAGAGCACUCAUACAAUUUGACAGAUGGAAUAACACAUUUGCCUGCAUUCCCUGAAAGAGUGCAAACAUUGGGUCCUGGUGACUUGAACUGACUCUUCCAAAUUGUAGUUAUUUAUUAAUGUAUCAGAUAAACCCAGUUUCAGAACAAUCAAGGAGAAACGUUAGACCAAAUAAUGCGGCUAAUUAACAGUGGUAUGAUUUCUAGCCGGGGGCUUAAAAUGGACUUAAAGUUCAUUUCUUGUGUUUUGUUCUCUGAACUUGCUGCUUUUGCAUUCUUGGAGUUCAGUUUAAAGACAGUUACUCUAAGUCCAUUUUCAACCCUCGGGCUAGAAAUUGUACCACUGUUAAUCAGCCACAUUAUUUGGUCGAACAGUUUUUCUUAUUCAUUCUGAAACUGGGUUUAUCUAAUACAUUGAUAAAUUAUUUCAAAGGGAUUUUGAUAGUUCAAAUCACUUCACUUUUACCCUAAGAAAUACUGACUAGGAAUGACCUUCAGAUAGUGUUUAGCAUCUGUACCCAAUCUGAUGAUAACGUGUUCAUCAGGUACCUGUGGAGUAAAUCCCAUACAGGCAUGUUUAAACUGAAUGGCAGUCUGGAAAAUACAUUUACUAUAUUAACCGAAAUAUCACUCUGUAUAGGUAUUUUGUCAUCUAUUUAAGAAAAAUCUAAAAGAAUGGAAAUCACGACAGUGACUUAAGUCUUUCUUCAAAGUGCACGCGACUCUUCUGCAGUACUUCAUUCAGCUAAGUGUCUGUUCUCUUCCUCAUUCAGUAGAAGGCAGCUUUCAAUUUGCUUAGAAGGCAACAUCAGGUUAGUGUUCAUCAAAAACACAGAAUUUAAUUUUCUUAUAUUUGUGUGUGUUUAUUUUAGAUAACUGAAACUUCACAGACUUUAACAGCAAAUAAUGUUUAAAAAAUUCAGUUCUGUACAUUAGCUCCAACUAUCUCUAUUUUACAACCUGUGAGGCUCAUGCCAUAGUUCAGCACCAACAAGAUCCACACAAACCUGUUUAAGCAUCUUCUUAUCCAUCCCAUGCCAUAGUUUCUGUGUGUUUUUAUUGUUUUUUAAGGUAAAAGUCCUGCUUUCAGAACUUGAAGUGGAAUCCCUCUAGUCAGACUACAAAACUUGGGUUGUACCUUCUUAUUUUCAUUGAACAGACACACACACAAAAAACAAAAAGAAUUGUUUUACCAUUGAUUUAGAUUGUCAGUCUAUAUGUUGAAUUUAUAACACUGAAGUGUCAGAAGUAACCUAAUAGUGCCCUGCCCCUAUUCUUCCCCUCCAUUUUAAAUUUGUAAAAAGGCAGCCAGAAAAAUGUUUCAUUUAUUCUUUAAAAUAAGGUGCAAAAAAGGAUUACAACAACAAACUUCCUCAUCCACACCUCCAAUAACAUUUCACUAUUUAGCAUCAUCUACCAUGAACUGAUUCAGGGGCUCACCUAGAGCUAUAUUCGCAGCUCCAGAAGGUACCUUGUUUGCUAUACCAGAGGCCUGCUCAGUGGCAGCGUCUCUCUGUUCAGAGGUCAGUACAAUAAAACAAUUUUCAAAUGUGGGUUCAACUGAAUAAAUUUGAAUUUCUGUAGGAAGAAUCAAAAUGCCUAUUUAAAGGUUGCAAAUAUAUGAUGAUCAUUUUUAAAGGAUUUUAUCAAACCUGAUAGGUUUUUCAGAAAUGAAUAAAAAUCAGUUCUGGAACCAAAGCUGAUUUUAAGAAAAUUUGAAAUGUAAAUUGUUCCUAUCCUAUCCAUAAUAUAGCUUCUCCAAAACUUUAUCUUAUAGAGUCAUUUUAAAAUAACUAUUAAAACAUGUAACUGCUAUCUUAUUGUUUUGAAAUUAUUUAAGACAUUUUAAAAUAUGAAUAUCAUAGUUUAAAAAAAACCAGGAGAAAAAAAGUAGAGAAAGAAAUGCCAAUUCCAGUCCAAAGCUUUAGUUGCCAGGUUUCCUAAGAAUGACUUUUACCACUGUAUGAACUCCUGUGAACAGAAUGUAAGAUGGAAAUCCUGAGCCUUUUGUCUAAAGCAGCAAUAUUGACUGCUGCUGUGAUGCUCCUGUGAUGUAAUUAAUUAUUCAGUUGCUGCAAAGCGCUGUUUUGCCUUAAAAUUUUGUGCAUGUUGACAACUGUGGUAUUAAAGGUACUGAGACUCUGCAAAUGCUGGGCACACUUGGCAUGAGAUAAUCUUUUUAUUUUUAUAAAAUUGUCAUAGCAAUGCAAGUGUGUUUAUUAAAAGAACACAAACUAAUAAAAGUUACGGGAUUAAAAGUUAUGGGAUUAAAAAAUGUGGAAAGAUUGUGGUAAAAAAAAGUGGAUAAAAAGUAGAAGAAUUUUAUGAAAAGUAUAAAAUUUAUGAAAAGAAAGUUAUGAGAUUUCAAAAAAACAUCAUGGAGAUAAAUAUAAAAAUAAAUACAAGCAGGCCCUGUCAGCAGGGCCUGGAGAAGGGGGCUGGAGUCUCUGCCCCCACCAUGUCCCUCCCACCCCUUCCCAGUCACCCUUUUAUUAUUAGCGUAGCAAGAGAAGACCCCUGUCUAAUGGGAGGAGACAAACAGACCCUUUGCCACCUUGACCAGGGCUGAGUCCUUAAAUCUCUGGAUGAUGAUGGUUGUUACUUAGGAGCCAGAGGCUGCUAGAGUUGGUGGGUUUGGAGGAGGCCUGAUGGCCUCCUUCCUCCACCAAAGCAACUUUUCCCUCAGUGGGCUCCCAUCUUCUUAUUCAGAGAGGCAGCUGAGGCAGGACAGUGGCGCUAACUGUGGACCAGGUGAGGGCACAGGCUGCUGGGGUGGCCCCCCUUCCCCAGUGUACAUAUUGUAUCUGUGUAACAUGUUGUAUAUUCCGGGGGGUAUGGGCACCCCUCGUUUUGUACCUAGCAGAGGUAGGAGCUGGCACAUGGGGAGGAGGAUUUAAUAAUUAUUUGCGGCUGGGAAACUUAUUUAUUGAUAGCAGAGGACAGGAAGGAGGUGGGGAUGGGGUCGUGGCUCCGUGGUGAUUCAACUUCUGUUUAUUUUGCUUUUUAUUUUGGAAUAAAUGGAUUUAGUCACACUGCUCA